rnacentral:rRNA from 1 species
AGGGCGCACGGUGGAUGCCUUGGCACUAGGAGCCGAUGAAGGACGGGACUAACACCGAUAUGCUUCGGGGAGCUGUAAGUAAGCUUUGAUCCGGAGAUUUCCGAAUGGGGAAACCCACUGUUCGUAAUGGAACAGUAUCUUUACCUGAAUACAUAGGGUACUGAAGGCAGACCCGGGGAACUGAAACAUCUAAGUACCCGGAGGAAGAGAAAGCAAACGCGAUUUCCUGAGUAGCGGCGAGCGAAACGGAAUUAGCCCAAACCAAGAGGCUUGCCUCUUGGGGUUGUAGGACACUCAACAUGGAGUUACAAAGGAACGGGGUAAAUGAAGCGACCUGGAAAGGUCCGUCGAAGAAGGUAAAAACCCUGUAGUUGAAACUUCGUUCCCUCCUGAGUGGAUCCUGAGUACGGCGGGUCCGAAAUAGCUUUAGGGCUAGCCUCAAGAUGAGAGUAUUGGAGGUAGAGCACUGAUUGGACUAGGGGCCCCCAACGGGUUACCGAAUUCAGUCAAACUCCGAAUGCCAAAUACUUAUUCUUGGGAGUCAGACUGCGAGUGAUAAGAUCCGUAGUCGAAAGGGAAACAGCCCAGACCACCAGCUAAGGUCCCAAAGUAUACGUUAAGUGGAAAAGGAUGUGGAGUUGCUUAGACAACCAGGAUGUUGGCUUAGAAGCAGCCACCAUUUAAAGAGUGCGUAAUAGCUCACUGGUCGAGUGACUCCGCGCCGAAAAUGUACCGGGGCUAAACGUAUCACCGAAGCUGUGGAUUGACACCGUAUGGUGUCGAUGGUAGGAGAGCGUUCUAAGGGCGUUGAAGUCAGACCGGAAGGACUGGUGGAGCGCUUAGAAGUGAGAAUGCCGGUAUGAGUAGCGAAAGAAGGGUGAGAAUCCCUUCCACCGAAUGCCUAAGGUUUCCUGAGGAAGGCUCGUCCGCUCAGGGUUAGUCGGGACCUAAGCCGAGGCCGAAAGGCGUAGGCGAUGGACAACAGGUUGAUAUUCCUGUACCACCUAUACAUCGUUUGAACGAUGGGGGGACGCAGAAGGAUAGGGUAAGCGCGCUGUUGGAUAUGCGCGUCCAAGCAGUUAGGCCGGAAACGAGGCAAAUCCCGUUUCCAUUAAGGCGGAGCUGUGAUGGCGAGGGAAAUAUAGUACCGAAGUUCCUGAUUCCACGCUGCCAAGAAAAGCCUCUAGUGAGAUGUAAGGUGCCCGUACCGCAAACCGACACAGGUAGGCGAGGAGAGAAUCCUAAGGUGUGCGAGAGAACUCUCGUUAAGGAACUCGGCAAAAUGACCCCGUAACUUCGGGAGAAGGGGUGCUUUUUAGGGUGAAUAGCCCAGAAAAGCCGCAGUGAAUAGGCCCAGGCGACUGUUUAGCAAAAACACAGGUCUCUGCGAAGCCGCAAGGCGAAGUAUAGGGGCUGACACCUGCCCGGUGCUGGAAGGUUAAGGGGAGAGGUUAGCGCAAGCGAAGCUUUGAACCGAAGCCCCAGUAAACGGCGGCCGUAACUAUAACGGUCCUAAGGUAGCGAAAUUCCUUGUCGGGUAAGUUCCGACCCGCACGAAAGGUGUAACGAUCUGGGCACUGUCUCAACGAGAGACUCGGUGAAAUUAUAGUACCUGUGAAGAUGCAGGUUACCCGCGACAGGACGGAAAGACCCCGUGGAGCUUUACUGCAGCCUGAUAUUGAAUUUUGGUACAGCUUGUACAGGAUAGGUAGGAGCCUGAGAAGCCGGAGCGCCAGCUUCGGUGGAGGCGUUGGUGGGAUACUACCCUGGCUGUAUUGAAAUUCUAACCCGCGCCCCUUAUCGGGGUGGGAGACAGUGUCAGGUGGGCAGUUUGACUGGGGCGGUCGCCUCCUAAAGAGUAACGGAGGCGCCCAAAGGUUCCCUCAGAAUGGUUGGAAAUCAUUCGUAGAGUGUAAAGGCACAAGGGAGCUUGACUGCGAGACCUACAAGUCGAGCAGGGACGAAAGUCGGGCUUAGUGAUCCGGUGGUUCCGCAUGGAAGGGCCAUCGCUCAACGGAUAAAAGCUACCCCGGGGAUAACAGGCUUAUCUCCCCCAAGAGUCCACAUCGACGGGGAGGUUUGGCACCUCGAUGUCGGCUCAUCGCAUCCUGGGGCUGUAGUCGGUCCCAAGGGUUGGGCUGUUCGCCCAUUAAAGCGGUACGCGAGCUGGGUUCAGAACGUCGUGAGACAGUUCGGUCCCUAUCCGUCGCGGGCGCAGGAAAUUUGAGAGGAGCUGUCCUUAGUACGAGAGGACCGGGAUGGACGCACCGCUGGUGUACCAGUUGUCUUGCCAAAGGCAUAGCUGGGUAGCUACGUGCGGACGGGAUAAGUGCUGAAAGCAUCUAAGCAUGAAGCCCCCCUCAAGAUGAGAUUUCCCAUGGCGCAAGCUAGUAAGAUCCCUGAAAGAUGAUCAGGUUGAUAGGUCAGAGGUGGAAGCAUGGUGACAUGUGGAGCUGACUGAUACUAAUAGAUCGAGGACUUAACC